CCUGGGUUGGUUGCGGGGAUAGUCUCGCUGUAUAUGCCCAUGCUGGUUGCAGGUGUAGCAAUGGAUCGGAGGAUGGGUAGGGUAUCUGGGGUUGUAGGUAUUUUGGCUUACCCCUGGUCGUGGUUGGACGGUUGAGGUCACGGCUGGUAACGGUGCUGUAGGUCCAUAGACCGGUCAGUGCUGGGUGCACUGGUCCCUUCUGGUAUCUUGAAACUCAUCUGCCAGUUUGGCUGCCUCUUGUAGCGUGCAUGGUUUUCGGUCCCUUACCCAAUUUUGUAGAUGGGGGGUAUCCCGUCGAAGAACUGCUCCAUGACCUGGGCGGCGGGUGGGGG